GACGAACGCUGGCGGCGUGCUUAACACAUGCAAGUCGAACGGAAAGGCCCCUUUGGGGGUACUCGCGUGGCGAACGGGUGAGUAACACGUGAGUAACCUGCCCUUGCCUUCGGGAUAACUUCAGGAAACUGGGGCUAAUACCGGCUAGGAAUCCUUUCUGCAUGGUGGGGGUUGGAAAGCUUCGGGGGUUUUGGAUGGACUUGCGGCUUAUCAGGUUGUUGGUGGGGUAGUGGCUUACCAAGGCUUUCACGGGUAGCCGGCCUGGGAGGGCGACCGGCCACAUUGGGACUGGGGUACGGCCCAGACUCCUACGGGAGGCAGCAGUGGGGAAUAUUGCAAAAUGGGCGGGAGCCUGAUGCAGCAACGCCGCGGGCGGGAUGACGGCCUUCGGGUUGUAAACCGGUUUCAGCAGGGGCGAAGCUUGUGGUGACGGUACCUGCAGAAGAAGCACCGGCUAACUACGUG
rnacentral:rRNA from 1 species